CAAGGCUCCGCGGCCGGAUAUGGGCCUAGCUUCCGGGAUCCGCUCCCUGCGGGGCCGCGCUUAGGGUCGGAGUUCGCUAGUCCAGGGAAAGGGGUGGGAGGGGCCCUCGGAGGGGCCCCUACAAGGGAUCCCAGUCCGCAGAAUUAAAAAUUCGUUCGCAAGGGAGCGCCCUUCCGGGGUCAGGGUCGUGAAGAGACACUCGAGAAUUAGGGUCCUGGACUGCAGUGGGGCCGGGCCUGGACUUCGGGCAGGUGUUUCCUGGCCGCCCUGGGGCCCUGCAGCACCGAGGGCCGCGCUGAUCUCAGGGCUCAGGCGGACGAGGGGCCGCCACAGGCACCUUAGGACCCUGGCGGCCUGAAGGCCUGGGGCCUUCAGGAAAGCCUCGGGCACUCCCAGCGGGGGACCUAGCGCCAGGUCACGAUUCCAUUCGGGGCGGGGAGCUUCUAAGCAGGAGUUGCUGACCAAGGAAAGAGUCUGGACCCGGGACCUCAUCCCUGAGGACCAGACCACGACCUUGGAGCUCAGCUCUCAGUCCUUCCCGGCUAGGGAUGCGGAGGGGUCGGGAGCUCGACGGCUAAGCGGCAGGGAAUCCUGAGUUCCUAGAGAUCUACAGAAAGCAGAAGAACGACACUAGAUGAGACUAGACAGUGACGGCGGAAGGACGGAACCACAUGGAGACUGACACACUUUGCGAGUUGGGACUCAAUUGCAUUUCUUUAAGUCCUUGAUUCCGAAGUUUCCCCGCCCUCCUAUGCAAGAGCGUUUGGGGAAACUAAGUUCCUUAGACUCUUUCAUCCUUGUUAUGUGAGCUCAGGGAGGAAGGCAGACAAUAGCUGCAGCCUAAACACCUGCUAUCUCUCAAUGCAAUAAGAUAUAGACGGUGAUUGGAGUCGUUUCUCUUUUUGCUUCCAGAGGGAGCUCAAACCUGAAGCAUCAAGGUUAUCUUUUUCCAAAGGAUUUGUGUGAACCUAAGUUCGGUACCUGCGACGAGUAAAAACACUUAUUUGACCCUCUAGAGACUCAGCUAGAACUGACUGAGCAAAGGGAAAUCGGGCAAAAGAAAGGGAAGGUACUGAGGAGAAAACGUUAAGCCCAACAGGUCCAGGAUUUGUGCACAGUGAGUGGAAAAAAUGUGUUAAACGUCGGUUUGACGCCCCACCGGAGCUUCCAAAUAUCCAGCGGCUGGGAUUCUUCUACUUAAUUUAAUCUUUAUUGGACAGGGCGGCUCCUAUGCUCCUAUUCACUAGGAAACCCGGGGAAACAUAUCCGUUGGGGUUCAGAAUUGAGGGUGGGAAGGAGAGGAGUUAAAGAGGGAUUAAUCCUCCCCCACCCAACUUCAAACUUUAGAACUGCAAUCGCC
rnacentral:lncRNA from 1 species